rnacentral:rRNA from 1 species
CUUGACGACCAUAGAGCAUUGGAACCACCUGAUCCCAUCCCGAACUCAGCAGUGAAACGAUGCAUCGCCGAUGGUAGUGUGGGGUUUCCCCAUGUGAGAGUAGGUCAUCGUUAAGA